rnacentral:rRNA from 1 species
AGUGAACGCUGGCGGCGUGCUUAACACAUGCAAGUCGAACGAGUAAGAGCCGUAGUAAUACGGAAUUCUGCUAGUGGCAGACGGGUGAGUAAUACAUAGGAAUUUUCCUUGCAGUACGGAAUAACUAUUGGAAACGAUAGCUAAUACCGUAUAUUGCCUACGGGUGAAGAUUUAUCGCUGCAAGAUAAGCCUAUGCAAGAUUAGCUAGUUGGUGGGGUAAAGGGCCUACCAAGGCGACGAUGUCUAGCUGGUCUGAGAGGAUGAUCAGCCACACUGGGACUGAGACACGGCCCAGACUCCUACGGGAGGCAGCAGUAGGGAAUAUUGGACAAUGGGGGGAACCCGUGAUCCAGCCAUGCCGCGUGAGGGAAGAAGGUCCUCUGGAUUGUAAACCUCUUUUGGCAGGAAACAAACCUGCGCUAUACGCGCAGCUGAGGGUACCUGCAGAAUAAGUACCGGCUAACUCCGUGCCAGCAGCCGCGGUAAAGUCG